rnacentral:lncRNA from 1 species
GCAACUUUUCUAAAAGAAAAAUGAAAUAAAUGCUUCUAUAAUUCCAUUCAAUGAAAAUUUAAAACGUUGUUUUUCCUCUGCUGAAUGUCACAUCUUUACUUCAAAGUGUAAUGUGGCUUUUCUCUAAUUGAAAAAUGAACUCUUGCUACUAGAAUCAGCCCCUCCAAAUUGAACAUGAACCAUUUCCUCAAAAAAAAAAUGAAUGUGUUGCAAUGUGCUACUCCAAAAACCAUCAUGAGUCGUGCACCAUUUUUUCCAAGAAAGAAAAUGCUAUAAAAAAAAAAGAAUGUUCCAGCCAAAGUAAAAUGAAGAGUACGGCUGGUUGUCUCCCAUUUACUAAAUGAAAUGAAUUGAAAAUGUGCUUUCCCACUCAAUCAUCAUCAGACCGUCAACACGUUGGAAGAAAAUGAAAAUAAAAACAUUCAAU